AAUGGGCGCAAGCCUGAUCCAGCCAUGCCGCGUGAGUGAAGAAGGCCUUCGGGUUGUAAAGCUCUUUCGGCCGGGAAGAAAUCGCAUGGGUCAAUACCCUGUGUGGAUGACGGUACCGGAAUAAGAAGCACCGGCUAACUACGUGCCAGCAGCCGCGGUAAUACGUAGGGUGCGAGCGUUAAUCGGAAUUACUGGGCGUAAAGCGUGCGCAGGCGGUUUGGUAAGUCAGAUGUGAAAUCCCCGGGCUCAACCUGGGAACUGCAUUUGAGACUGCCAAGCUGGAGUUUGGCAGAGGGGGGUGGAAUUCCACGUGUAGCAGUGAAAUGCGUAGAGAUGUGGAGGAACACCGAUGGCGAAGGCAGCCCCCUGGGCCAAUACUGACGCUCAUGCACGAAAGCGUGGGGAGCAAA
rnacentral:rRNA from 1 species